rnacentral:rRNA from 1 species
UGGGGAAUUUUGGACAAUGGGGGCAACCCUGAUCCAGCGAUGCCGCGUGUGUGAAGAAGGCCUGCGGGUUGUAAAGCACUUUAGGUGGGGAAGAAGGUUCGGAAGCUAAUAUCUUUCGGAAUUGACAUUACCCACAGAAUAAGCACCGGCUAACUCUGUGCCAGCAGCCGCGGUAAUACAGAGGGUGCGAGCGUUAAUCGGAAUUACUGGGCGUAAAGGGCGUGUAGGUGGUUAUAUAAGUUUGAUGUGAAAUCCCCGGGCUUAACCUGGGAACUGCGUCGAAUACUGUAAGACUAGAGUCGGAUAGAGGGUUGUGGAAUUUCCGGUGUAGCGGUGAAAUGCGUAGAGAUCGGAAAGAACACCAGUGGCGAAGGCGGCAACCUGGAUCCAGACUGACACUGAGGCGCGAAAGCGUGGGGAGCAAACAGG